GGGUAACCUACCCUAUGCUGGGGGAUAAGCUCGGGAAACUGAGAAUAAUACCCCAUAGUCCACUACGCCUGGAACGGUGAGUGGAUCAAAGCUCCGGCGGCAUAGGAUGGGCCUGCGGCGUAUCAGGUUGUAGGGGGUGUAAUGUACCCUCUAGCCAUCUACGCGUACGGGUGUUGGGAGACAUAGCCCGGAGAUGGAUUCUGAGACACGAAUCCAGACCCUACGGGGUGCAGCAGGCGCGAAAACUUGGCAAUGCGAGAAAUCGUGACCAGGGAACUCCAAGUGCAUCGGGUAAGACCGGUGCUUUUCUUGACUCUAAAUAGGUCUUGGAAUAAGGGGUGGGUAAGGACGGUGCCAGCCGCCGCGGUAAUACCGGCGCCUCAAGUGGUAGUCGCUUUUAUUGGGCCUAAAACGUCCGUAGCCGGUCUGAUACAUUCGUGGGUAAAUCAACCAGCUCAACUGGUUGAAUUCUGCGAGGACGGUCAGACUUGGGACCGGGAGAGGUGUGGGGUACGCUCAGGGUAGGGGUAAAAUCCUGUCAUCCUGAGCGGACCACCUGUUGCGAAGGCGCCACACUAGAACGGAUCCGACGGUCAGGGACGAAGCCUAGGGGCACGAACCGGAUUAGAUACCCGGGUAGUCCUAGGUGUAAACGCUGUGGACUUGAUGUUGGGGGUGCUCCGAGCACUCUCAGUGUCGAAGCGAAGGUGAUAAGUCCACUGCCUGGGAAGUACGGUCGCAAGGCUGAAACUU
rnacentral:rRNA from 1 species